rnacentral:tRNA from 1 species
GCGAGUGUAGUUCAAUGGUAGAACGCGACCUUGCCAUGGUUGACACGUGGGUUCGAUUCCCAUCAUUCGCU